rnacentral:rRNA from 1 species
UGGGGAAUUUUGGACAAUGGGCGCAAGCCUGAUCCAGCCAUGCCGCGUGUCUGAAGAAGGCCUUCGGGCUGUAAAGGACUUUUGUCAGGGAAGAAAAGGAUAGGGUUAAUACCCCUGUCUGAUGACGGUACCUGAAGAAUAAGCACCGGCUAACUACGUGCCAGCAGCCGCGGUAAUACGUAGGGUGCGAGCGUUAAUCGGAAUUACUGGGCGUAAAGCGGGCGCAGACGGUUACUUAAGCAGGAUGUGAAAUCCCCGGGCUCAACCUGGGAACUGCGUUCUGAACUGGGUGACUAGAGUGUGUCAGAGGGAGGUAGAAUUCCACGUGUAGCAGUGAAAUGCGUAGAGAUGUGGAGGAAUACCGAUGGCGAAGGCAGCCUCCUGGGAUAACACUGACGUUCAUGCCCGAAAGCGUGGGUAGCAAACAGGAUUAGAUACCCUGGUAGUCCACGCCCUAAACGAUGUCGAUUAGCUGUUGGGCAGCUUGACUGCUUAGUAGCGAAGCUAACGCGUGAAAUCGACCGCCUGGGGAGUACGGUCGCAAGAUUA